rnacentral:rRNA from 1 species
AAAGACGUGCGCAGGCGGUUUGUUAAGACAGUGGUGAAAUCCCGGGACUCAACCUGGGAACUGCCAUUGUGACUGCAAGGCUAGAGUGCGGCAGAGGGGGGAUGGGAAUUCCGCGUGUAGCAGUGAAAUGCGUAGAUAUGCGGAGGAACACCGAUGGCGAAGGCAAUCCCCCUGGGCCUGCACUGACGCUCAUGCACGAAAGCGUGGGGGAGCAAACAGGAUUAGAUACCCCUGGUAG